rnacentral:misc_RNA from 1 species
AUGAGAUAUUCAAAGUUUUUCUUGAUGUUAGCUGAUACUCUCCUUUGAGGCGGCAGUGACUCGAUUCUAAAAAUGGAUUACCAAGAGGGGAAGACGGGUCUUUGUUGGUUUCUAUCAGUUAGGCCUUUGGCCCUUCUUUCUCUGGGUAUGAGUCUGUAAUGUUUCUCAUAGUUAGGUAUAGGUCUGUGUUGGUUUGAGCAUGGGCUUAGUCUAGUUAGGAGUUUGCCUAAAUAGGCUUUGAACCAAGAGUUUUUAAGUAUUUUGUGCUUUAUUCUAUUUAUUUUGUGC